rnacentral:rRNA from 1 species
CACGGGGGGAGCAAGCGUUGUUCGGAAUCACUGGGCGUAAAGGGCGUGUAGGCGGUCAAGUAAGUGGAAUGUGAAAUCCCCCGGCUUACCCGGGGACCGGCAUCCCAUACUGCUUGGCUUGAGUACGGGAGAGGAUGUGGGAAUUCCUGGUGUAGCGGUGAAAUGCGUAGAUAUCAGGAGGAACACCGGUGGCGAAGGCGCACAUCUGGCCCGAUACUGACGCUGAUGCGCGAA